rnacentral:rRNA from 1 species
CCUACGGGAGGCUGCAGUGGGGAAUAUUGGACAAUGGGCGAAAGCCUGAUCCAGCCAUGCCGCGUGUGUGAAGAAGGCCUUCGGGUUGUAAAGCACUUUCAGUGGGGAAGAAAGCCUUGGGGCUAAUACCCUCGAGGAAGGACAUCACCCACAGAAGAAGCACCGGCUAACUCCGUGUCAGCAGCCGCGGUAAUACGGAGGGUGCGAGCGUUAAUCGGAAUUACUGGGCGUAAAGCGCGCGUAGGCGGUCUGAUAAGCCGGUUGUGAAAGCCCCGGGCUCAACCUGGGAACGGCAUCCGGAACUGUCAGGCUAGAGUGCAGGAGAGGAAGGUAGAAUUCCCGGUGUAGCGGUGAAAUGCGUAGAGAUCGGGAGGAAUACCAGUGGCGAAGGCGGCCUUCUGGACUGACACUGACGCUGAGGUGCGAAAGCGUGGGUAGCAAACAGGAUUAGAUACCCCAGUAGUC